rnacentral:rRNA from 1 species
UACGUAGGGUCCGAGCGUUGUCCGGAAUUAUUGGGCGUAAAGAGCUCGUAGGCGGUCUGUCGCGUCGGGAGUGAAAACUCAGGGCUUAACCCUGAGCCUGCUUCCGAUACGGGCAGACUAGAGGUAUGCAGGGGAGAACGGAAUUCCUGGUGUAGCGGUGGAAUGCGCAGAUAUCUGGAGGAACACCGGUGGCGAAGGCGGCAUCCUGGACCAACACUGACGCUGAGGAGCGAAAGCCAGGGGAGCAAACGGG